rnacentral:rRNA from 1 species
AGUAACACGUAAACAACCUGCCUUCAGGAUGGGGACAACAGACGGAAACGACUGCUAAUACCGAAUAAGUUCCAAGAGCCGCAUGGCCCAUGGAAGAAAAAGUAGGCCUCUACCUGUAAGCUAUCGCCUGAAGAGGGGUUUGCGUCUGAUUAGCUGGUUGGAGGGGUAACGGCCCACCAAGGCGACGAUCAGUAGCCGGUCUGAGAGGAUGAACGGCCACACUGGAACUGAGACACGGUCCAAACUCCUACGGGAGGCAGCAUG